rnacentral:rRNA from 1 species
AACGAACGCUGGCGGCGUGCCUAACACAUGCAAGUCGAACGAGAAAGGGGCUUCGGCUCCGAGUAAAGUGGCGCACGGGUGAGUAACACGUGGGUAACCUGCCUCUAAGAUUGGGAUAACUCGUCGAAAGAUGAGCUAAUACCGAAUAAGACCACAGUUCCCGCGGGAACAGGGGUCAAAGGUAGCCUCUGCUUGCAAGCUAUCACUUAGAGAUGGGCCUGCGCACCAUUAGCUAGUUGGUAGGGUAACGGCCUACCAAGGCAAAGAUGGUUAGCUGGUCUGAGAGGAUGAUCAGCCACACUGGAACUGAGACACGGUCCAGACUCCUACGGGAGGCAGCAGGGGGGAAUAUUGCGCAAUGGGCGAAAGCUUGACGCAGCAACGCCGCGUGAGUGAUGAAGGCCUUCGGGUCGUAAAGCUCUGUCGGGAGGAACGAAUGCUCCUGAGGUUAACAGCCUCGGGAGGUGACGGUACCUUCAAAGGAAGCACCGGCUAACUCUGUG